GAUGAACGCUGGCGGCGUGCCUAAUACAUGCAAGUCGAGCGAACAGACGAGGAGCUUGCUCCUCUGACGUUAGCGGCGGACGGGUGAGUAACACGUGGAUAACCUACCUAUAAGACUGGGAUAACUUCGGGAAACCGGAGCUAAUACCGGAUAAUAUAUUGAACCGCAUGGUUCAAUAGUGAAAGACGGUUUUGCUGUCACUUAUAGAUGGAUCCGCGCCGCAUUAGCUAGUUGGUAAGGUAACGGCUUACCAAGGCAACGAUGCGUAGCCGACCUGAGAGGGUAGUCGGCCACACUGGAACUGAGACACGAUCCAGACUCCUACGGGAGGCAGCAGUAGGGAAUCUUCCGCAAUGGGCGAAAGCCUGACGGAGCAACGCCGCGUGAGUGAUGAAGGUCUUCGGAUCGUAAAACUCUGUUAUUAGGGAAGAACAAAUGUGUAAGUAACUAUGCACGUCUUGACGGUACCUAAUCAGAAAGCCACGGCUAACUACGU
rnacentral:rRNA from 1 species